rnacentral:rRNA from 1 species
UUUAAAUGAAGACCAGAACAAAAGAUUUAACGUUUUAAUUAUAUUUUUACUUAAAAUAUUUCAAAUUAUCUUAAAUGUAAAAAGACAUUUAUCUAAAAGAAAGACGACAAGACCCUAUUGAACUUAACUUUAGUUAAACUGGGGCAGUUAAUUAAUAAUCAUUUUAAUUCUUAUAAAUAAAUAAAUAUCCAAUCAAAUUGACUUUUAAUUAAGUUACCAUAGGGAUAACAGCGUAAUAAUUUUAUAAAGCUCUCAUAAAAAAAAUAGUUUACGACCUCGAUGUUGAAUUAAUAACCUAAUUAACGCAAAAGUUAAAAAAGGAAGUCUGUUCGACUUUUAAAUAAUUACAUGAUUUGAGUUCAGACCGGUGCAAACCAGGUCGGUUUCUAUCUUCUAUUUAAUUCUUACAGUACGAAAGGGCCUAAGAAACUAAUAUAAUUACUAUAUUGGCAGAAAAAUGCAUUAGAAUUAGAAUCUAAUAAACUAAUUAAUUUUAUUCAUUUCAUCAUACUUAAUUAUUACUCUAAGA